rnacentral:lncRNA from 10 species
AGUACAUGGCCAUCCCCUCCAGACUCAGAGAGGAAGGGGUGGCAGAGGGAGGAUGGGAAGAAAGCAGUAACCAGCAAGCGCCUACUGGGGACCAGGCAUGUGAUUUCGGACAAUCAAUGUUUAUUGUCAUCAGCAUGCCCUUUGGUCAGGCAUGAUGCUAGUUGCUGGGGUUAAUGGCAAGAAAGUCCUGGUCUUUGACCUGAAGAAGCUCACAGUCUAGUGGGGAAGAAAGAAGUUGAACAAGUAAUUCCAAGGGGGCAACAUGAGCAGCACUGCAGGCAUGAGGCAGAAGUCUCUUAGCAUCCCCAGGAAAUAACUCAUCCUUGUUUAGCAGAUGGGCCACCCAAGGCUCAGAGAGAUCAUUGAAGCAAGUAAGAGUGUCGUCAGGGAGUGAACAUCAGACAUCUCCUUCCCAAGCCUGUGUUCCUUCUACCAGCUAAGUGAAGGGCCUGCCAUGUGCAUGUUGCCAGGGUAAGGGAAACUGUGGCCUCCCCCUUACUAGUUGGGUAGUCUUGAGUAUGUCAUUCAGUGUUUCUGGGUCUGGGUUUCUUGGGAAUGUUACCUUUUUAGGGGGUUGUUCAAAAGACGAGAUUAGAUGGCAGAGGUGAAAAGUGGUGUGACUGAAGUUGUCUGUCUGACUAAAGCUGAAGUAGUCCAAAGUCCAAACUCUGAAGCCUGGAGUCUGAAAUCCAGGGUCAGGAGUCUGAAGUCUGAAGUCAGAAGUCUGGUCUGGAGUCUGAAAUAUGAAAUCUGGUCUGGAGUCUGAAGUCUAAAAUCUGAAAUCUGGGUCUGGAGUCUGAAGUCUGGUCUGGAGUCUGAAGUCUGGAGUGAAUCUGAAGUUCGAAGUCUGAUCUGGAGUCUAAAAGUCUCCUGUUGUCUGGAGUGUGGAGUCUCUUGUCUGGAUUGUGGAGUCUCUUGUCUGGAGUGUGGAGUCUGUUGUCUGGAGUGUGGAGUCUGUAGUCUGUCGUGUGGAAUGUGGAGACUGGAGUGUGUUGUCUAGAGUCUGUUGUCUGAAGUGUGCGAUCUGGAGUCUGGAGUCUGAAGCUGGAGUCUGAAAGUCUGUUGUGUGGCAUGUGGAGUCUGUUGUCUAAAGUCUGGAGUCUGAAGUCUGGAGUCUGAGGUCUGAAGUAGUCUGACUAAAACUGAAAUAGUCUUUAAACUAAAAACUAUCUUUCUCGUGCUCAUUGGUACUAUUGUUAUGCAGUUGAACACAGUGUUGGUAGAAAAGGAGAAGCAGAAAGAAUGUAGAUUAAACUUUGAUUCCCAUCUUGCCUUUCCUUCUGCUGGAGCCACUUCAGAUGUUUUCUUUU